rnacentral:rRNA from 1 species
CCUACGGGUGGCAGCAGUGGGGGAUAUUGCACAAUGGGGGAAACCCUGAUGCAGCGACGCCGCGUGUGGGAAGACGGUCCUCUGGAUUGUAAACCACUGUCCCCAGGGACGAAGAUGACGGUACCUGGGGAGGAAGCUCCGGCUAACUACGUGCCAGCAGCCGCGGUAAUACGUAGGGAGCAAGCGUUGUCCGGAAUUACUGGGUGUAAAGGGAGCGUAGGCGGGAUGGCAAGUUGGGUGUUAAAUCUACCGGCUAAACUGGGAGUCGCACUCAAAACUGCUAUUCUUGAGUGAAGUAGAGGUAGGCGGAAUUCCUAGUGUAGCGGUGAAAUGCGUAGAGAUUAGGAGGAAUACCAGUGGCGAAGGCGGCCUGCUGGGCUUUUACUGACGCUGAGGCUCGAAAGUGUGGGGAGCAAACAGGAUUAGAUACCCGGGUAGUC